UGUUCUUGCCGGUCUUGAACCUCUCCUCGAGCUUGGCCUUGGCGGACUUGGCGGCGGUGAGCUUCUUGUCCUUGGUGGUGAGGGAGUCGGGGGCGCCGGAGGCCACCUCCUUGAGGUCGACGUCGAGGGUGUAGCGGGUGGGCAUGAGGUGGGUGAAGUUGACGAGCUUGAGGAAGACCUUGACGCGCGACUUCUUGGCCGUCUUCUUCGCCGAGUCCUUGCGGAUCACCUUCUUGGGGUACUUCGCCAGGCCGGCGACGAGGCAGUGGCCGUAGGGGCGGUCGCGGGUGCCCUCCUCGAAGACGCGGACGAUCACCGCCUUCUUCCCCGCGUACCUGCCCUGCAGCAGGAUCACCGCCUUCCCGGGCUUGAG
rnacentral:lncRNA from 1 species